rnacentral:rRNA from 1 species
CAUGCAAGUCGAACGAAGUAGCAAUACUUAGUGGCAGACGGGUGAGUAACAUGUAGGUAUCUUCCCUUUGGUGAGGAAUAACACGAGGAAACUUGUGCUAAUACCUCAUAAGUCUUUACAGAGAAAGCUUUAUGCGCCGAAGGAUGAGCCUGCACCUGAUUAGUUUGUUGGUGGGGUAAUGGCCUACCAAGACUUUGAUCAAUAGCUGAUCUGAGAGGAUGAUCAGCCACAUUGGGACUGAGACACGGCCCAAACUCCUACGGGAGGCAGCAGUAGGGAAUAUUGCACAAUGGAGGAAACUCUGAUGCAGCGAUGCCGCGUGAGUGAAGAAGGCCUUUGGGUUGUAAAGCUCUUUCGUCGGGGAAGAAAAUGACUGUACCCGAAUAAGAAGGUCCGGCUAACUUCGUGCCAGCAGCCGCGGUAAUACGAAGGGACCUAGCGUAGUUCGGAAUUACUGGGCUUAAAGAGUUCGUAGGUGGUUAAAAAAGUUGGUGGUGAAAUCCCAGAGCUUAACUCUGGAACUGCCAUCAAAACUUUUUAGCUAGAGUAUGAUAGAGGAAAGUAGAAUUUCUAGUGUAGAGGUGAAAUUCGUAGAUAUUAGAAAGAAUACCAAUUGCGAAGGCAGCUUUCUGGAUCAUUACUGACGCUGAGGAACGAAAGCAUGGGUAGCGAAGAGGAUUAGAUACCCUCGUAGUCCAUGCCGUAAACGAUGUGUGUUAGACGUUGGAAAUUUAUUUUCAGUGUCGCAGCGAAAGCAUUAAACACACCGCCUGGGGAGUACGACCGCAAGGUUAAAACUCAAAUGAAUUGACGGGGACCCGCACAAGUAGUGGAGCAUGUGGUUUAAUUCGAAGAUACGCGCAGAACCUUACCAACACUUGACAUGUUCGUCGCGACUUUAAGAGAUUAAAGUUUUCGGUUCGGCCGGACGAAACACAGGUGCUGCAUGGCUG